UUCACUACAUGAUGACAGCGGUGCGUA
rnacentral:sRNA from 1 species